GAUGAACGCUGGCGGCGUGCCUAAUACAUGCAAGUCGAGCGAACGGACGGGAAGCUUGCUUCUCUGAUGUUAGCGGCGGACGGGUGAGUAACACGUGGAUAACCUACCUAUAAGACUGGGAUAACUUCGGGAAACCGUAGCUAAUACCGGAUAAUAUUUUGAACCGCAUGGUUCAAAAGUGAAAGACGGUCUUGCUGUCACUUAUAGAUGGAUCCGCGCUGCAUUAGCUAGUUGGUAAGGUAACGGCUUACCAAGGCAACGAUGCAUAGCCGACCUGAGAGGGUGAUCGGCCACACUGGAACUGAGACACGGUCCAGACUCCUACGGGAGGCAGCAGUAGGGAAUCUUCCGCAAUGGGCGAAAGCCUGACGGAGCAACGCCGCGUGAGUGAUGAAGGUCUUCGGAUCGUAAAACUCUGUUAUUAGAGAAGAACAUAUGUGUAAGUAACUGUGCACAUCUUGACGGUACCUAAUCAGAAAGCCACGGCUAACUACGUG
rnacentral:rRNA from 1 species